AGUGAACGCCGGCGGUAGGCCUAACACAUGCAAGUCGAACGGCAGCACAGUAAGAGCUUGCUCUUACGGGUGGCGAGUGGCGGACGGGUGAGGAAUACAUCGGAAUCUACUUUUUCGUGGGGGAUAACGUAGGGAAACUUACGCUAAUACCGCAUACGACCUACGGGUGAAAGCAGGGGAUCUUCGGACCUUGCGCGAUUGAAUGAGCCGAUGUCGGAUUAGCUAGUUGGCGGGGUAAAGGCCCACCAAGGCGACGAUCCGUAGCUGGUCUGAGAGGAUGAUCAGCCACACUGGAACUGAGACACGGUCCAGACGCCUACGGGAGGCAGCAGCGGGGAAUAUUGGACAAUGGGCGCAAGCCUGAUCCAGCCAUACCGCGUGGGUGAAGAAGGCCUUCGGGUUGUAAAGCCCUUUUGUUGGGAAAGAAAAGCAGCAGGUUAAUACCCCGCUGUUCUGACGGUACCCAAAGAAUAAGCACCGGCUAACUUCGUG
rnacentral:rRNA from 1 species